AUGGCCGGUCAUCGACAAUCGUUGGCAGCGGCUUCUCUGAAGCUCCCAGCUCUUCUGCUUCUGUGGAUCUUUAGCUUGAACUGGGGGCAUGCCGUCGCGCACUUUGAUCCUGCAAACAUGACGGAACUGCAGAAACAUGUCUCCUUUUUCGACCGCAACAAGGAUGGCUUCAUCACUCCUGUGGAAACCAUCCAAGGGUUUGUUGCAAUCGGUUGCGAGUAUGCAUUUGCUACUGCUGCCUCAGCCUCCAUUCAUGGUGCCCUUGCUCCUCAAACAACCCCGGCUGGCACACCACUGCCUCACUUGACAAUAUACGUGGAGAAUAUCCACAAAGCUAUGCAUGGAAGUGAUUCGGGUGUAUACGAUCCUAAAGGAAGGUUUCUUCCCCAAAAGUUUGAGGAAUUAUUCAAAACAUAUGCAAUACUCCGGCCAGAUGCGUUGACACUUGCAGAGAUGCAUGCGAUGCUCUUUGCUAAACGAGAUCUAGACCCGAUAUCAUGGGCGCCACCCGAGAUAGAGUGGGGGCUAUUAUUCACGCUUGCAAGCGAUUGGCUUGGAUUUCUUCACAAGGACAGUGUUAGAGGUAUAUACGAUGGAAGCGUGUUUACCAAGUUGGAGAAGAAAUGGCACCCUUCUCAAAGUGAUAUAUGA
rnacentral:rRNA from 1 species